GUUAGGAAUAUUGGACAAUGGGCGCAAGCCUGAUCCAGCCAUGCCGCGUGAACGAUGAAGGCCUUCGGGUUGUAAAGUUCUUUAGCCGAUGAUUAUAAUGACUGUAGUCGGAAAAUAAGACCCGGCUAACUUCGUGCCAGCAGCCGCGGUAAUACGAAGGGGGCGAGCGUUAUUCGGAAUCACUGGGCGUAAAGCGUGCGUAGGCGGUCUCGUAAGUUAGGAGUGAAAGCCCAGGGCUCAACCUUGGAAUUGCUCUUAAAACUGCAAGUCUAGAAUCUCGGAGAGGAUAGCGGAAUUUCCAGUGUAGCAGUGAAAUGCGUAGAUAUUGGAAGGAACACCAGUGGCGUAAGCGGCUAUCUGGACGAGUAUUGACGCUGAGGCACGAACGCGUGGGGAUCAAACAGGAUUAGAAACCCCUGUAGUCC
rnacentral:rRNA from 1 species